UACGGAGGGUGCAAGCGUUAUCCGGAUUCACUGGGUUUAAAGGGUGCGUAGGUGGGCUUGUAAGUCAGUGGUGAAAUCUCCGGGCUUAACUCGGAAACUGCCAUUGAUACUAUAGGUCUUGAAUUAUCUGGAGGUCAGCGGAAUAUGUCAUGUAGCGGUGAAAUGCUUAGAUAUGACAUAGAACACCAAUUGCGAAGGCAGCUGGCUACAGGUUAUUGACACUGAGGCACGAAAGCGUGGGGAUCAAACAGG
rnacentral:rRNA from 1 species